AUGACAGGAGCGUGUGUUGUGGGGUGGGUGUUAGAGAGGGUGUUUGGGGUGGAUGUGUGCAGAGAGGGCGUGUCGGAGUCCGGCCUCUACUGUGACCACCUCCUGGAGAACAGUGGCCUAUCCCUAGCUGAGCUAGAGGAGAGAUGUAAGGAGGCCGCUGGCCAGAGGCUUCCUCUCUCCAGACUGGAGCUGAACAGGCAGGAAGUUACAGAGCUCUUCCAGGACAAUGCUCUGAGACUCCAGUUGAUUGAAGAACAGAUGAGUGGUCCUACUGUCACAGUCUACAGGUUUGUUGCUCAACAUCUCACAGCCUGAUACAACACAGUCAUGGUCUGUUUUUAAGGAGAAAUGACUGUACACUAGGAUGACAUGUCCAUCUCUUCCUGUUCCGUGUGUGGGUCAGGUGUGGAGACAGCAUAGGAGUCUGCAAUGGUCCUCUCCUCCCUCACACUG
rnacentral:lncRNA from 1 species